GCCCUCUGCGGGACUGAGGCUUCCCGCGAAGCGGGUGUGUCCGCUUGCAGCCCUCGCUCAGGCUCCGGGUUUAGCUGCGGAGUCUCAGAGAAUGAGAGACGUGACACAAGAGGUCCCCAGGGAGCAAGGCCCGCGCCUCCUGAAAACACACAGGCUACCAGGGGGCAAGAUGACUUUAGCCACUGUUUCCAGAUACUUCCUUCCGAUAGAGGAGCAGAUUGAUAGAUGAAGCAUAAAACAAGACCAGAUGCUGUGGUUUCCAGGAUGCACUUGGCUCCCCAUCCUUUAUAACCUGGAGCAUUUUUUUGCUUUUCAGAUGUACAACACAGUGAUUCAACAACUCUCUACCUUACUCAGCGCUCUCCGUGGUAAGUGCGGUCACCAUCUGUCACCAUGCGAGGUUAUUACCAUAUUAUUGACUAUAUUCCCUUUUCAGCCCCGUGUCUUGUGUAUUUUAUAACCAGAAGCUGAAUCCCCUUCACCUAUUUCACCCAUCUCUCCACUCUCAACUAGGGUUUUAAUUAAUUGACUUUUUCCCCCUGCAAUCUGACAUAUCUCAUGGGGCUUUGGAGGCUCUAUUACUGCAGAUUUAAUCUGACCGAGACGGGGAGAAAAAAGGGGCAGGAAGGAUAUACAGUCCAAAGAUAGCAGAUGUGGAAUCAAACCAUUUUAUUGACCGUAUGUAUAUCAUCACUCUGUCUUUGGUAGGUCCGUUCCUAACGUGUCCAUCGGAGACCAGUCCCAUCAGGGUGAGUCUUGGUACUCAUGGGAUUUAGGAACAUAGACACUGAGGCGCAACAGACCUGGGUUUGUAUGGACAAUCUGCUGUUUACUAGCUCUAUGAUUUGGGGCAAGCUAUAAAGUUAUAAAGCCUCAACUUCCCCAUCUUUCAUACAGGGACAGUAGCAGUACACAUGCCACGGAGUGGCACUGAAAAUUAAAUGAGACGGUUUCAGGGAAGUGCUGAGCUCUAUGCCUGACGCUUAGCAAGUGCUCAAUAAACAUGCUGUUGUAACAUCCCAGGUGAUGUUUUUUAUUGUACUAUGAAAUGAUGUUCUCUCAUUUCCUGAAGUCUGUGAGGACAAAGAUUCCUUCCUAUCUGCUUAUUGUUUGUUUGCACGAGGACUUCACCUCCCAAGUUUUUAACCAUGGCAUCUUGUCUGGGAAUAUUUCCUCUGAUUAGUGAAAAGGCCGUGCCCCUGUCUCCCUGACCUCUUGAUUCUCUCAUUCUUAAUACGCUCAUCUGGCUGAGUCUUACUGAUUGGUAGUCAAGAAACCAUUUAUGAUAGUUCUAUAAAACCCGUAAGAUUCCAUCCUUAUGACCACCAGACAAUUACAUUUAAAAUACUGAUCAAUCCAUGAAAAUAGCUACCUGGAUAUUUCUCAGUUCACCAAAGACCGUUGUUGAUACUGGCUGUUGUUCCCAUCUGUCUAACAACAGCCAUUUAUUGAGCUUAUACUUCUUGCUUUCAUGGAGUUCUAAAGACUAAAACGUCUUAUAAAAAUGCAAGUCCUCACAGAGCUAUUGAUUUUUUUUUUUUAAGCUCAAGGUUUAUCCCAUAUUUCAUCCCCAUUUCUUAUUUGUUUAGGGAAAACUUUCUGCCUUAGAUUGCUGAGUGGGUUUUACACAAGAAAAAGAACUUAGUUCAGUGGGUGAAAGUGAGAUGCUGAACCAGACUGGAGAUUUUGGACGUCGAUACUUUGCAUGUCUGAUCUUUCCUUUGCAA